GCGGAUGUGGCGGAAUUGGUAGACGCGUCAGACUUAGGAUCUGGUGCCUUCGGGCGUGGGGGUUCGAGUCCCUUCAUCCGCA
rnacentral:tRNA from 1 species